AUGUAUUUUGGGCAGAAAAGUCCUUCACCUUGCCCUGAAGUCAUACUGCUUCCAAGACUGAUGGCACUGGAAAUGGGUCUAUUGGAUCUUUCCAGAGCCCCAGAACUCUGCCUUCUCUUCUCUGCCCCGCCACCUCAUCAAAGGGGUCUUCCUGCCUCCAUACUCACAUCUGAUCACGUGGUAAGGCUAACCGAGGAGGUCCAGCAGAGCACUUUUCAAAUACUGGCAUCUCCAAGUAGCGCUGAGCAGCCUGCAGCCUCCUCCAGCACCGUAUGACAUGAGUUUGGCAAAGCCUGGAGCUGCAAAGGGCAACCUUCCCGUGGGUGGAGAAGCCUGAGGGAGAACGGAUGGAAAGAAGAGCGGUGUGGGAACAGACAGACGCCUGAUGGUAUCCAAGUAAAUCCAGCUGCGCUGAAAGCAGCCCAGUUUCUGAACUGUAAUUUUAAGUCAACAAAUAAACUUCUUUUUUCCCUCUUUAA